rnacentral:tRNA from 1 species
GCCCCCAUAGCUCAACUGGAUAGAGCUACUGGCUUCGAACCAGUAGGUUGGCUGUUCGAAUCAGCCUGGGGGCA